rnacentral:rRNA from 1 species
UGGGGAAUAUUGGACAAUGGGCGAAAGCCUGAUCCAGCCAUGCCGCGUGUGUGAAGAAGGUCUUCGGAUUGUAAAGCACUUUAAGUUGGGAGGAAGGGCAUUAACCUAAUACGUUAGUGUUUUGACGUUACCGACAGAAUAAGCACCGGCUAACUCUGUGCCAGCAGCCGCGGUAAUACAGAGGGUGCAAGCGUUAAUCGGAAUUACUGGGCGUAAAGCGCGCGUAGGUGGUUUGUUAAGUUGGAUGUGAAAGCCCCGGGCUCAACCUGGGAACUGCAUCCAAAACUGGCAAGCUAGAGUACGGUAGAGGGUGGUGGAAUUUCCUGUGUAGCGGUGAAUUGCGUAGAUAUAGGAAGGAACACCAGUGGCGAAGGCGACCACCUGGACUGAUACUGACACUGAGGUGCGAAAGCGUGGGGAGCAAACA